UACGGGGGGGGUAAGCGUUGUUCGGAAUUACUGGGCGUAAAGGGCGCGUAGGCGGCCAUCUAAGUCAGACGUGAAAUCCCCCGGCUUAACCUGGGAACUGCGUCUGAUACUGGAAGGCUUGAGUAUGGGAGAGGGAUGUAGAAUUCCCAGUGUAGCGGUGAAAUGCGUAGAUAUCUGGAGGAAUACCGGUGGCGAAGGCGGCAUCCUGGACCGGCAUUGACGCUGAGGAGCGAAAGCCAGGGGAGCAAACGGG
rnacentral:rRNA from 1 species